UCGCGUAUAGUCAAACGCUCCUUGAGUGGAAUGGCGGGCAGAAUCGCCCGCACUACAGUUGCCGUCACUUCCCCUCUGAACCAGAUCAGUGGCCUUCUUCCUCAAUUGUGGGACUCUGGCUUUUUAGGCAUCUAAUAAAGUGUUCUUAAACAAUUUCCAAUUA